UACGGGAGGCAGCAGUGGGGAAUAUUGGACAAUGGGCGAAAGCCUGAUCCAGCCAUGCCGCGUGUGUGAAGAAGGUCUUCGGAUUGUAAAGCACUUUAAGUUGGGAGGAAGGGCAGUAAGUUAAUACCUUGCUGUUUUGACGUUACCAACAGAAUAAGCACCGGCUAACUUCGUGCCAGCAGCCGCGGUAAUACGAAGGGUGCAAGCGUUAAUCGGAAUUACUGGGCGUAAAGCGCGCGUAGGUGGUUCAGCAAGUUGGAUGUGAAAUCCCCGGGCUCAACCUGGGAACUGCAUCCAAACUACUGAGCUAGAGUACGGUAGAGGUGGUGGAAUUUUCCUGUGUAGCGGUGAAAUGCGUAGAUAUAGGAAGGAACACCAGUGGCGAAGGCGACCACCUGGGACUGAUACUGACACUGAGGUGCGAAAGCGUGGGGAGCAAACAGGAUUAGAUACC
rnacentral:rRNA from 1 species